AAUCAACGCUGGCGGCGUGCCUCAGACAUGCAAGUCGAACGCGAAAGGCUCCUUCGGGAGCCCGGUAGAGUGGCGCACGGGUGAGUAACACGUGGGUAAUUUACCUCGGGUGGGAAGUAACAGCCGGAAACGGCUGCUAAUACCGCAUAAUGCAGCGGCACCACAUGGUGACAGUUGUUAAAGUGGGGGAUCGCAAGACCUCACGCCUGAAGAGAAGCCCGCGGCGGAUUAGCAGUUGGCGGGGUAAUGGCCCACCAAGGCGUCGAUCCGUAGCCGGCCUGAGAGGGCGGUCGGCCACACUGACACUGAAUAACGGGUCAGACUCCUACGGGAGGCAGCAGUC
rnacentral:rRNA from 1 species